UCGGCCAGGCAGGGAUAAAUCUUGAUCAAGACAUUAGUUUCCCCAGUAAUGUCUGCCCAUUCAAGAUCCAUCUUCUUCCUCAUUUUACACUAUCUUCAAUUUCUCACUUCAUCCACUCCUUGUAAUGCAAUCAAGAAUUCAAGCCCCAAUAAUCUUCAGUAUCCAUGCACUCCACCUUACUUCAAUUCCUACCCUUUUUGCAAUAACUCAAAUCCCACAAAAGCCAGAGCAGAAUCCUUAAUUUCCCUCUUAACAAUCGAUGAAAAAAUUCAACUACUCUGCAACAAUUUUUCCGGUAUUCCAAGGCUGGGAAUUCCUCCCUAUGAGUGGUGGUCCGAGUCCCUCCACGGCCUCGCCACCAAUGGACCUGGGAUCACUUUCAAUGGCUCUAUUAAAUCCGCCACAGGCUUCCCCCAAGUCAUCCUCACGGCCGCCGCAUUCAACAGAACCCUAUGGGCGGAGAUUGCUUCGGCUAUAGCAGUCGAGGCCCGGGCCAUGUACAACUUGGGACAAGCUGGAUUGACAUUUUGGGCGCCUAAUAUUAACAUUUUUAGGGAUCCCAGAUGGGGGAGGGGUCAAGAAACUCCUGGAGAAGACCCUAUGGUGGCUGCUGCUUAUGCUAUAGAGUACGUGAGGGCUUUUCAGGGUCAAAAUAAGAGAUUUUGGAAGAGACGUAAACAUGGGUUUUUACAAAGGAAAGUGUGGACAAAUGAUUAUGGGAGUGAUAAAUUAAAGUUGUCUGCUUGUUGCAAGCAUUUCACCGCUUAUGAUUUGGAGAAAUGGGGGCAAUUCGCCAGAUACAAUUUCAAUGCUGUGAUAACAGAUCAGGAUAUGGCAGACACAUAUCAGCCACCAUUCCGGGCUUGCAUCCAGCAGGGUAAUGCAAGCUGCUUGAUGUGUUCAUACAAUAGUGUAAAUGGAGUACCAGCAUGUGCAAAUCACGAUCUGUUACAGAAAGCUCGAACCGAAUGGGGUUUUCAAGGAUACAUCACUUCGGACUGUGAUGCCGUGGGUACUAUAUAUGAAUACCAGAAAUACACAAAAACACCAGAGGAUGCAGUUGCCAGUGCUCUCAAAGCAGGAACUGAUAUUAAUUGUGGAACGUAUAUGCUGAGGCACACUAAAGCUGCAAUGGAGCAGGGGAAGGUUUCAGAGGGAGACAUAGACAGAGCAUUGCUCAAUCUGUUUUCUGUUCAACUCCGACUUGGGCUUUUUGAUGGAGCUCCUGGUAGAAAUCAAUACAGGAACUUUGGACCUCGAGAUGUAUGCUCUUCAGAGCACAAGAAGUUGGCUCUUGAAGCAGCAAGGCAGGGUAUUGUGCUUCUAAAGAAUGACAAGAAAUUCCUGCCAUUACAUAAACACAGUAUCUCUUCACUAGCCAUUAUCGGUCCUAUGUCGAAUUCAACCAAUUUGGGCGGUGGCUAUGUAGGAGUUCCAUGUGAACUAAAAAGCAUUCUUGAAGGAUUCCAAGAACAUGUAGAGAACACGUAUUAUGCUGCAGGUUGCGAAGAUAUACCUUGCAAUUCAAGCUCCGGUUUUGCAGAAGCUCUGUCCAUUGCUACAGAAGCCGAAUAUGUAAUUAUUGUGGCUGGACUGGAUUUAUCACAAGAAACGGAGGACCACGACAGGUAUAGUCUUCUCUUGCCAGGUUAUCAGACGGAACUCAUUAAUUCUGUUGCUGCCUCAAGUAAGAAACCUCUGAUUUUAGUUCUUACCGGUGGUGGACCAAUUGACGUAUCCUUUGCCAAGGGAGACCUGCGCAUUGCUAGCAUUCUUUGGAUUGGUUACCCUGGAGAGACUGGUGGAAGAGCACUUUCAGAUAUUAUCUUUGGACACUAUAAUCCAGGCGGAAGACUACCCAUGACUUGGUAUCCCGAGUCGUUUACCAAUGUACCAAUGAGCGACAUGAGCAUGCGAGCUGAUUCUUCUCGAAAUUACCCUGGAAGAACAUAUCGGUUUUAUAUUGGAGAUAGACUCUACGAAUUUGGAUAUGGAUUAAGCUACACAAGUUUUACAUACAAAAUUCUAGCAGCUCCUAGCAAACUGAGUUUACGAGGUUUUAUCAAGGCUGGACCACGAAGGAACAUGCUUUCUGCGAGAAGCAGCAACCUUGAAUAUAUUCUUGUUGAUGAGGUGGAAUAUUGCAACUCAUUGAGGUUCAACGUGCAGAUUUCUGUGACAAAUAAUGGAGACAUGGAUGGAAGCCAAGUUGUUCUGUUAUUUUCGAGAACAUCAAAAUCUUUCAAGGGUUCUCCCGAAAGACAGCUUAUUGGUUUUGAAUGUGUCCACACACUAUCCUAUAAAACUGUUGAAAUAAGCUUUCUGGUAGACCCGUGUGAACAUCUUAGCAUUGCAGAUGAGCACGGAAAUAGAAUAUUGCCGUUGGGUGAUCAUAUUCUAAUAUUAGAAGACAUGGAGUAUGUUCUUUCAAUUGAAAUGUGACAAAAUCUAAAUUCAGUCCAGCACUCAAAUUGGAUUUUCAUUGGAGAGUUUCUUCGUGAAUUCAUCUUAAUCCAGGUUCUGGAAAGUGCAGAUUCCUUCGAUGCAACACUUUGAUCAUAAAAAUUGGUAGCUCUACAGCAUCAAAUAUUUUUCUGUCAGAUUUCCAAGUAUCAAAUGCAGAUUUCUAAAUGAUGAUAAACUAUGGAAAAUUGUUAGGGAACGCACAUUGAAGACAUGUCCAAGCCAGUUCAUUUGUAUGUCACAGCCCUUUAGUUCUACUGAUAAAGGAAGUUCCUUUUUUCCACCUAUUUGUUGUGUCCCUGGGUACUCGUAGUUGCACAGGACCCUGGACAGAUAGUGGAAACUACCUGCUAGACAAAUUAUCGACAAUCACUCAAUGUGAUUGGGUGAGAAUUUCUUUUAAAAAAAAAAAAUUAUUAUUAUUCUCCACUCUGUUUUUGAUACCUUAUCUGUUUGUAAAUCAUUAUAUAA